CUCUGGGUAUUAAGCAGCAGCCUCAAAAGAAUUUCACUAAAUGGAAGAAAUACCAAUUAACCUUCCUUCCCUAUUUCCCAUGAGACCCAGGGGCAUUGCUUUAUAUUCUAGGAUCCUUCAACUGAGAUUCAGUAAGUUCCAUUUGUCCUUUGUAGUGUACAAACAAAAUCAGACAAAACACUAAGAAAAUGCUCAGAGGCUUCCCUCCUCCUGGGACCUGCCUGGCAAUGCCGGCCCUGCCUGCCCGGCUGCCCACCUUCCCUCCAGGGGCUUGGCUACCUCCAGCUGCCUCUCCCUGGAACGCUCCCGAGGGCUGUGCCCACAUCUUCUUUGUGUGCUGUGAACCUCUCUCCCUGUCCACAGACCUGUGCCGAGCAGGAAAUCUUGAUGGGCAAGGGUGCACGCGUCCUUUUGAGAAGCCUGUUUUCGGCGGACACAACAUCUUUGUUGGUAUGUGGUGCUGAGGAUCGAACCCGGGCCGCACGCCUGCCAGGAGUAAACAUUCAACAAGCAUUUCCUGACUUCCUACUAUGUGCCAGCUUCUGCGUUAGACAUUUGGGAACAGCUGUGAAUAUACCCCAACCUGGUGCUGGUUGUGAUGAGGAUAAAAAAGCAAAAGAUGUGGCUCAAGAGGCAGUGAGGAGAUUGAAUGGAGAAGACACUCCCAGACCCUGCAAAAUAAUCACAGUGCUUCUCACUUCAGGGUAGAAGUUUUCUUUGAAGCACUAAAGUUGUAAAUGUAGGUUUUGCACUUAUUUGAUCAAUGUCUGUUUUUCCUGGAAGGGUAGGAACAAUGUUUGCUUUUUUUCCCACAAUCUUAUCUCUUGUGCCAAUACCUGGCACAUAAUACACACUCAGUAAAGGUUUAGUUGCCUACAGGG